rnacentral:lncRNA from 1 species
UCUCAUAGACCCAGCACACUCCAGGCAGCAUCCACCCCACAGGCAGAAGAGGACUGGACCUGCACCAUCCUCUGAAUGCCAGUGCAUCUUGGGGGAAAGGGCUCCAGUGUUAUCUGGACCAGUUCCUUCAUUUUCAGUAAACCUCACACUGGUUGGCAGAAGGAACUAUACCAAUAAUUAGUGAACAUGCGGUGAAUUUGCAACAGACAAGAGGAGCCUCAUUAUCCUAUAGUUUCCAGGUUGCUUAGGGAGGCAGAAAUCACAGCAAGGAAAACCUUCAAUAAUAAACAGACGUCUCAUAAAAUUAAUUGCAACCCAACCUCUCUCUCUACUUAAAAUUAGCAUCUAUUUCCAGCUCUGCUUUCAAUGCCCCAUAUGAAUACAUGUGAACUCCCUCCCUC